CACGUAGGCGGAUUGUUAAGUCGGGGGUGAAAUCCUGGAGCUCAACUCCAGAGCUGCCUUCGAUACUGGCGAUCUCGAGUUCGGGAGAGGUGAGUGGAACUGCGAGUGUAGAGGUGAAAUUCGUAGAUAUUCGCAAGAACACCAGUGGCGAAGGCGGCUCACUGGCCCGAUACUGACGCUGAGGUGCGAAAGCGUGGGGAGCAAACA
rnacentral:rRNA from 1 species